CACCCGAACCCUCGGGCUGCAUGGGGUGGCAGGUUAGCCUUCCCAGGGCAGAGGGACUGGAGGUGGACAGGACGACCAGGAGACUUGCAGGCGUCCUGGCAGCGUGGAAACGAAAAAUGGACAGAUUAUAUAGAAGGCGGAAGUCAGGAAACAAAGCAGCAGAGGAGACGGGUGAGGGGAGACCACGAAGAAUGGUGAUGGACAGGAACCCACUCCGAGGAGACGCCCAGGGGACACAGGUUUGAGCCCUGGUCCGGGAAGAUGCCAUGGAGCAACUAAGCCGCGGAGCAACUACGCCCAUGUGCCACAAUUACUGAGCCUGCACUCUAGAGCCCGCAAGCCACAACCACUGAGCCCACGUGUCACAACUACUGAAGCAUGCGCACCUAGAACCUGUGCUCUGCAACAAGAGAAACCACGACAAUGAGAAGCCGCCGCAUCACAACAGAGUAGCCCCCGCUCGCCGCAACUAGAGAAAGCCCGUGCACAGCAACGAAGACCCAACGCAGCCAAAAAUAAAUAAAUAAAUAAAAAACAAACAAACA